rnacentral:lncRNA from 12 species
CAUCACACUUGGUUUAGGGGAACAGAAAGUGAAGAUGUGAAUGCAAAGAGACGUUUCACUUAAUUCAAAGUUUUUUGAUGCACCUGAGAUUGGUGAUGUGUGUGUUAAAUGAAUGGUGCAUUGAUAUUUUCCUUUAUUUUGUACGAAGAUUUUCAUUUUCCUAGAAAAAGAUGUGCAUACAACACCCACGCAGCAAGAAUGCCAGCUGUUAGGGUGCCGGCCUGGCUUUCUGAGAAAAGGGAGGUCGCGACAAGGAUCCCAGUGCAGGGGUCAGGUCCCCAGUGCAGGGGUCAGGUCCCCAGUGCAACGGUCAGGUCCCCAGUGCAGCGGUCGGGUUCCCAGUGCAGGGGUCGGGUCCCGAUCUGCUGACUCCGUCUCCGUUAAGUCUCUCACUGGGUCAAAGCCGGCUGCUUCGCUGAGUCAUGGCAUUGCCAGGGGGGCUGGGGGCUGUGACGUGUCCGGCAUCGCAACCACAGCGCCUGCAGCUGCCACCAACCCCCUCAGCGGCCGCCGGGGAGGACGUGCCCGUCCUGGCUUGGGAAGGUGACGAAAAGGAUCCAUGCUCUGCCUUGUAAACCACAAAAAAAAAAAAAAAAAAAAAAAAAAAAACCUGGAACACAAAAGAGACCAACAGGUACUAGUGCAUAGAACGUGGUGGCAUCAUUCUCUUUGUUCUAGGCUUCUCAUCAACACAUUCAACUUCAUUUGUCAUCCAUCAGCCACGGACUUCCCCACGUGUACAUUCAGUCCAAAACUCUCUUCUAAACCUAAGUCACCGUGCCAGGAAAUCAGUUCACUCUGCCUCCAUCAUCCACCACUAUCACCACACACACCUUCAGAUGGUUCACUCCUCUUCAGACCUGAAUUUUAACAUCAUGCUGUUGUAGGUUCUCCCCCAAUCCACCCAAGAUGAGAUCAGAUCUCAUUGUCAUGCAGCAUAGUGGUAUCAGUAAUUUUUUUAGUAGUACAAGCUAUUUGUAACUGUGCAUAAUUGUUUCAUAAUUGUCAUACUGGAAUGCAAGCUCAUGAGAAUUGAGACUUUAUCUUGUUUUUAUUGUUCUUGUAUCCCUUAUACUUAUUACAGGCUAGACACAGGCAUUAGUACUUGAAUGAAUGAAUGAAUAAAUGAAUGUGGAAGUGAUUAAGACA